UACGAAGGGGCUAGCGUUGUUCGGAUUUACUGGGCGUAAAGCGCACGUAGGCGGAUCGUUAAGUCAGGGGUGAAAUCCUGGAGCUCAACUCCAGAACUGCCUUGAUACUGGCGAUCUCGAGUCGGAAGAGGUGAGUGGAACUCCUAGUGUAGAGGUGAAUUCGUAGAUAUUAGGAAGAACACCAGUGGCGAAGGCGGCUCACUGGUCCGGUACUGACGCUGAGGUGCG
rnacentral:rRNA from 1 species